rnacentral:misc_RNA from 1 species
GAAAUGCGAUAAGUAAUGUGAAUUGCAGAAUUCAGUGAAUCAUCGAAUCUUUGAACGCACAUUGCGCUCGCCAGUAUUCUGGCGAGUAUGCCUGUUCGAGCGUCAUUUCAACCAUCAAGCUCUGCUUGCGUUGGGGAUCCGCGGCUGCCCGCGGUCCCUCAAAAACAGUGGCGGGCUCGCUAGUCACACCGAGCGUAGUAACUCUACAUCGCUAUGGUCGUGCGGCGGGUUCUUGCCGUAAAACCCCCAAUUUCUAAGGUUGACCUCGGAUCAGGUAGGAAUACCCGCUGAACUUAAGC